rnacentral:rRNA from 1 species
CCUACGGGAGGCAGCAGUAGGGAAUAUUGGGCAAUGGAGGCAACUCUGACCCAGCCAUACCGCGUGCAGGAAGACGGUCCUCUGGAUUGUAAACUGCUUUUGAAUGGGAAGAAUGUGCUCCUUGCGAGGGGUAAUGACGGUACCAUUAGAAUAAGCCACGGCUAACUACGUGCCAGCAGCCGCGGUAAUACGUAGGUGGCGAGCGUUAUCCGGAUUUAUUGGGUUUAAAGGGUGCGUAGGCGGCUUAAUAAGUCGGUGGUUAAAAGUAGCAGCUUAACUGUUUUACAUGCCAUCGAUACUGUUGAGCUUGAGAUAUUUGGAGGCAGCUAGAAUUUCCGGUGUAGCGGUGAAAUGCAUAGAUACCGGAAGGAAUACCAAUUGCGAAGGCAGGUUGCUACGAAUAAACUGACGCUGAUGCACGAAAGCGUGGGGAUCAAACAGGA